AGAGUUUGAUCGCGGCGUGAAUUGAACGCUGGCGGCAUGCUUAACACAUGCAAGUCGAACGGCAGAGCGGGGUUAUGCUUCUCUGGCGGCGAGUGGCGGACAGGUGAGUAAUGCGUAGGAAUCUACCUUAUAGAGGGACAACCCGGGGAAACUCAGGCUAAUACCGCAUGAUCUCUAUGGAGUAAAGCAGGGGAUCUUCUGACCUCGCGCUAUAAGAUGAGCUAUGUCGGAUUAGCUUGUUGGUCAAGUGAUGCCUACCAAGGCGACGAUCGUAGCUGGUCUGAGAGGAUGAUCAAAGUUUGAACACGGCCCAGACUCCUACGGGAGGCAGCAGUGGGGAAUCUUGGACAAUAAAACCCUGAUCCAGCAAUGCCGCGUGUGUGAAGAAGGCCCUCGGGUUGUAAAGCACUUUCGUGGGGAAGAAAUUCUCAAGGUAAUAUACUUGAGCGUUGACGUUACCUACAGAAGAAGCACUGGCUAACUCUGUGCCAGCAGCCGCAGUAAUACAGAGAGUGCGAGCGUUAAUCGGAAUCACUGGGCGUAAAGAGCGCGUAGGUGGAUAUUUAAGUCGGAUGUAGAAAGCCCACAGAAGCAACACAGGAACUGCGCACUCGAUACUGGAUAUCUCCAGUAUGGUAGAGGGGAAGUGGAAUUUUCGGUGUAGCGGUGAAAUGCGUAGAUAUCGGAAAGAACACCAGUGGCGAAGGCGGCUUCCUGGACCAAUGCGACGCACUGAGGUGCGGCGUGGGGAGCAAACAGGAUUAGAGACCUGGUAGUCACGCCGUCAACGAUGAGAACUAGCUAUUGGAGGAUUUACUUUCUAGUGGCGAAGCUAACGUUAAGUUCUCCGCCGCAGGAUACGGCCGCAAGGUUAAAACUCAAAGAAAUUGACGGGGGCCCGCACAAGCGGUGGAGCAUGUGGUUUAAUUCGAUGCAACACUGAAAAACCUUACCUACCCUUGACAUCCUCAGAACUUGUCAGAAAUGACCUGGUGCCUUCCGGGAACUGAGUGACAGGUGCUGCAUGGCUGUCGUCAGCGCUCGUGUCGUGAGAUGUUGGGUUAAGUCCGUAACGAGCGCAGCCCUCGUCAGCAGUUGCCAGCGAGUUCAGUCGGGAACUCUAAGGAGACUGCCGGUGAUAAACCGGAGGAAGGUAGGAUGAUGUCAAGUCAUCAUGGCCCUUACGGAGUAGAGCUACACACGUGCUACAAUGGGCAGUACAAAGGGUUGCCGACCAUAAAGGUGGAGCCAAUCCCAAAAAACUGCUCUUAGUCCGGAUUGAAGUCACCCGAAAGCUCGACUUCAUGAAGCUGGAAUCGCUAGCAAUCGCGAAUCAGAAUGUCGCGGUGAAUACGUUCUCGGGCCUUGUACACACCGCCCGUCACACCAUGGGAGUGAAUUGUACCAGAAGCGGGUAGGCUAACCUUC
rnacentral:rRNA from 1 species